CCUACGGGGGGCAGCAGUGGGGAAUAUUGGACAAUGGGGGAAACCCUGAUCCAGCGACGCCGCGUGUGUGAAGAAGGCCUGCGGGUUGUAAAGCACUUUCGGUGGGAACGAAAUAUGUCGGGCCAAUACCCCGGCAGGCUGACGUUACCCAAUGAAGAAGCACCGGCUAACUCUGUGCCAGCAGCCGCGGUAAUACAGAGGGUGCGAGCGUUAAUCGGAAUUACUGGGCGUAAAGCGCACGUAGGCGGCUUCGUAAGUCGGAUGUGAAAUCCCCGGGCUCAACCUGGGAACUGCAUUCGAGACUGCGAUGCUUGAGUAUGGGAGAGGACAGCGGAAUUCCGGGUGUAGCGGUGAAAUGCGUAGAUAUCCGGAGGAACAUCAGUGGCGAAGGCGGCUGUCUGGCCCAAUACUGACGCUCAGGUGCGAAAGCGUGGGGAGCAAACAGGAUUAGAUACCCGAGUAGUC
rnacentral:rRNA from 1 species